AUAAGCUAUUCUUUACAUUUCUCUUGGUUUUAUGUGUGUGUAUAGAUUUAUCAUCCUUAAGAAAGACAUUUAAGGAAGCACCAGUCCAACAGAGGACCUCCACUAAGAAAAUACAACACAAAGCAACAACAACAAAGGCAUAGGACAAAACAGACAGACAUAUCCAUUGCAGCAGAUGUAUGAGUUAUAGUGUAGAAAAACACACAAAAAGAAGGCGCAUAGCAUCCCAGUAGCUGCAACCAAUGAUCACUGUUGAAACACUGAACAAGCAAUUUUUUUAAAAAUCAAUUUUUAAAAAUGACCAAUUACUUCAAAAGAGAUUUAAACGGAUGAAUGAAAUAUUAUCACCCAAGGAUGAAGAUGGCCCUGGUUUUGACAGCUUGGAGCCCAAGACCAGUGGUAGAAUAGCCCCUGAAACGACUUACCUGUUAUUCACUGAGGAUGAGCCCAAGAUCUGAAGUUCCACUUCAGUUGUACUUGAUACCCACAGUUGCAUCACACACUUGCUACUUCAUUACUUCAUCUAUCGUGCCAUUCUUGCAGAAUCUGGUGACAGAAGGACUUUAUCAUAUAGAAAGACUCAAGAACCCCACAGCCCCAUGAUUACUGCCAUCAGCACACCCAGGCAUAGUGGGAAAAGUGCCCAUAUAGAAGACUGAAGAGUUCUUUGUGGCGCUGGGAUGGCAACUCGGUAGUAAAAUGCUUGCCUCACAAGCACGAGAGUCUUAAUUCAGUCCUCAG